rnacentral:rRNA from 1 species
UGGGGAAUUUUGGACAAUGGGCGAAAGCCUGAUCCAGCAAUGCCGCGUGUGUGAAGAAGGCCUUCGGGUUGUAAAGCACUUUUGUCCGGAAAGAAAUCCUUGGCUCUAAUACAGUCGGGGGAUGACGGUACCGGAAGAAUAAGCACCGGCUAACUACGUGCCAGCAGCCGCGGUAAUACGUAGGGUGCAAGCGUUAAUCGGAAUUACUGGGCGUAAAGCGUGCGCAGGCGGUUUGCUAAGACCGAUGUGAAAUCCCCGGGCGUCAACCUGGGAACUGCAUUGGUGACUGGCAGGCUAGAGUAUGGCAGAGGGGGUAGAAUUCCACGUGUAGCAGUGAAAUGCGUAGAGAUGUGGAGGAAUACCGAUGGCGAAGGCAGCCCCCUGGGCCAAUACUGACGCUCAUGCACGAAAGCGUGGGGAGCAAACAGGAUUAGAUACCCUGGUAGUCCACGCCCUAAACGAUGUCAACUAGUUGUUGGGGAUUCAUUUCCUUAGUAACGUAGCUAACGCGUGAAGUUGACCGCCUGGGGAGUACGGUCGCAAGAUU